AAGCUCUCCAAGGAGAUUUUAAUGCCUAAGCAGGCUGGAUCAUCGUCUUUCCAAUCAGGAGUGCUCAGAGUGCUUUCAAAUCAGGGAAGGGCACAGCAGCAGCAGCAGCAGCAGCAGCAGCUCUGUCAAAUCUGAGAGCUAACGAGCAAUGACACUUAUCAGUCACCACAGGAGAAGUAGAAAGCUGGGGGAAGGGGAGGGCAAGGGACCUCUGGGAGCAUGUAAGCGAUAAGGAUGCUGGGAUGCAUGCUGCGGGCUCACGUCUGAAGGUGGGUCUUACAUUUGAAGAGUGAGGCUUCCCUAUGGCUAUUCCAGCUUAGUGGAUCCAGUGAUUCCCGUGAUGGUAAAGGGCUGUGAACACAGAUGUCACCCUACUUUCUGACCUAAGCUUUUAAUGCCCAUGCAGGACACUCCUCUUUCUCUGCCAGAUAGACCUUGAGAUGCUAAUUCGAAAGGAAGCUAGCAGCAAGAUGGUCUAUGAAUCACUUGAGAAUGUGAAUGGAAAACAGAUAAAAGGGUGAUCUUUAUAAAGAUGUAUUGGAGAAUGUGGUUCAGUUUCAUGCAUAUCCUAAUAGUAGCUACAUGUUUUGAUCCUGGUUCGACCACAUCUCCUCCCAAAACUUGUCCAGACCUUUGCAGAUGUGUUUGUAAGCAUGUACAGCAAUUACUACCUCCAUGCUUCUUCUUGGUGAGUUGCAGAAUUAAUAAAAACCUUUGUCUGGUGGAGCUAGCCCAUGGAGGGCAAGGCAGAACUGUCCCCUGGCAAGCAUGCAGGCUUAUGAGAAAUUUC
rnacentral:lncRNA from 1 species